rnacentral:snoRNA from 1 species
AUGGCAAUGAUGAUUGGCGCAGGGGUACGGACCUCAGCUAGAUCAUGGGAGCUGAAUGUAACCUGUUUAAUCCAGUGCAGCUGGCAUGUGGCUGGCUCGCUGGAAACAGGUUUGCAUGAGACUUUGCCACAGACUGAGCCAU